AUUUGAAUAGUUUAAAAAAAACAUUAGUUUGUGGUGCUAAAAAUAUAAUUAUUUAUUUCAGAUA
rnacentral:tRNA from 1 species